CUUUUCCGUGCCGCUGCCGAAGGUGUUGCUGUGCGGCGCCAGCCAUGCGGUCAGUGCGGCAGCGCCUGCGGCCCGGUGGCCGGGCCCAUGGAGGUACAACAAAAUCUGUGUUGUGAAGAUGUUGAAACAGUGCUGUCUAAAAAUUUGUUAAAGAAGAUGAUUGAAGAAAACUACAAAGACCACAAAGAAGGUACCAAGAAAUGCAGCAUGCAGGUAACUGCAGAUGAGUGUCUCAACCAAGUCCAUUAGCUGUGAUGUUUUUCAAAGUCCUUUGUCGCCUCAAGUAAUUAGAACUUCUCGAGAAAUCACAUCUGUUGCUCACUCAGAAGCAGUGUUAUUGGAUAAUAACUCCAAAGGGUUGGGUCCAGUUCAAGUUGCCUUUAUCUCUUAAGGGGUGUGCAACAUUUGGAAGGAAAAAACGAAUUGGUCAAGAAAACAGGAGCAGAAGCAAAUGAUGAAAUUUAAUAUUUCAUGUUGAUAAACUAAAUAAAUUAUGCUAACAGUACAUGCAU